UCAAUCCUACAUAAUUUAAUUAUGCUGUCAGCAUGACAACUUUUACAUGGUGUGUAUAUCAAUGGGAGCUGUCUUCUUUGUCUUUGAAAUAGAGUACACGAGACCCUAUUGCAAAGCGUCACUUGCAAUACAAUACUAUAUUUGGACAGUUACUUCAAAUAACACAUGGAUUUGGAACAAAGAUAGAAAUUGCAUCAAAUAAAACUUCGCAAAAAACUCACGAAAACUAUGCCAAGUGUGUUCUAAAUUUCUAAUCCCAUUUGUUCGCCCUACUAAGCAAAAUUUUCAUCCUGAGCAGUAUUUUUCAAAAUGUAGAGUGCUCUAAUUAACGCCAUAGCAUGCAAUCUCUACAGGGUUCCUACUUCUAACUUAAGGCCUAGCUGCUUGCGGGUCGACAAGACUGCAUAUAUGGUCUAGACUAGACACUUGGAUGGUCCUUGUAGCCAAUAAGAUGGAUACUGUUAAACUUGGUGCUGUAUCACUUCACACUCUUCAUACAGGAGCAAACAAGCAUCGAUUGCUGGCACAAAGCUGCGAAUAGUGAUAUUAGGCCAUGCACAUGAGUUGUUUGCAACCAUAUACCGAUAAACAGAAGUUCCAAUAUCACUAGUGGGGACAGGGCCUAUAGCCCCGGCCCGUAAGGGGCUUUAGUCCCAGUUCACC
rnacentral:lncRNA from 1 species